UUCCAUACUCCCUUAGGGCUUUAUCUUUGGAAUCUCAAAAUUCCUAAGAGGUCUCUGGGAACAAGCAAAGCAGGCAAACGACAAAGUAGCUUAAUUGGGAAAACAUUUACUGUGUGCCUACUCUCAUCACACAUGGCUCUAGAGGUCUUUGGAGAUACAGGUCUCACUUCAAACUUCCGGUUGGCACCAUCACUGCCAUUUCACAGCUGGAGGACCUGGCCCAGAGAAAAAGAGCAACCUAUCCCAAGCUACCCAGCUGAAGCACAGAUAUGGAGAAAAAGAAAUGCCAAACAAAAACUCAGAAGCAGCACAGAGCUCUACCAGUAACCUGCCCGCAUCUCUGUAAUAAAUCCUUUUCAUUCUACUUGAUUAAUACCAUGCAGGAGCACCUCAGAGUCCUCUCUGUCUCCCCACAGUGCCUCACUGAGUACACUGCAAGCCAAGCACUGAACAUUUUUUGCUAAAUAAAUGAAUGGAUGUCAACUAA